CCAACUUCUUCUUCAGUAGUGGUGUCAAUCUGUAGAUGAAUUGUCUCCUUCUUCGUACGUGAUAUGUUUUCUAUUUUUCUAAGCAUUUUCCUUUGUUCUGUCCUCUUUGUUGUUUUGGAUAUCAUUUUGACAUUGGCUUUGGUUGAGUUUGACAUUUGUACAGUUAUUCUAACUGAAACCAUCUGUCAAUAUAGUUUUUAUUAGAAUGCAACUUGAUUAUAAACAAAUAAAAAUCAGUAUGAGUACACAAUUAUAUUUGAAACAUACCAAAGUGAAUUACUAUUUAUGGAAAUAGACAACAUUUUUAUAACUGCAUAAAUCUUUAUAAGAUUCAUAUAACUAAAUAAAUUAGAAAUAAAAAUGUACAAUAGGAGGUUUAUUAUGUGUAAGAUCUGGAAAAUUUGCAAUUCUAUUUAUAAAUGAAGUAAUUGUAAACUGUUUCGUAAACAUUGUUUAUCAAACUUAAAAAAACACAAACUAUUUACUGAAUGUACAAAUUAUUAACAGACAAUCACACUAGUUCGUGUCAUAGCAUAAUAUAUGUUUAUACUACUUGUUCGUGAAUGCAUCCCAGAUUUUACUAUUUUCGUACAUUUCAAUUCUAUUUACAAAUGAAGCAAAUUGUAAACUAUUUCGUAAACAAUGUUUAUUAAACUUAAAAAUCAUGAACUAUUUUACUCAAAUGUAAAAAUUACAAACAGAGAAUCACACUAGUUCGUGUAAUAGCAUGAUGUAUGUUUAUAUAUUGAACAAUUAGCUAGUAAAUAGUCUUUUUUUGGGUGGAUCUGUGAUGGAUUCGUACUGAGAGUAAAUAACAAAAUAAAUUUAAGCAAAUAGUAUAAUCUGGGUUUUGUUUAAGUUGAUGCAUGUUAUUCUAUAUGCUUGAUUUCAGUAGAUGUUAGUUAUAUAAACAAUGAACCGUAUGCUUUUGUGAAAUAUACUGAGAAAAAUUGUAAGAUUGUUACCUUUCGUUUAUUUUCUGGGUAUUUCUGCGACCAAGUUGCUCAGCGAAGCUGAAAUUUGCGUGAAUUCGUUCGUAAAAGAACUGGAAUGAUGUACGAAAUCGGUGGCUUCACAAGUGUAGUUGCAAUUUGAGCUCUUUUGGCAAAUACUUCUUCCUUCUCAAAGGUGGCUUCUAUUGGUUUGGCCUCUUGCACUUGAUUUGCAAAUUGAAUGACAAAUAUGCCACAAUCCAAUCUGCAUUUUUUUUUCUUGGAAAAACAAAUAAGUAUGACAGAUAAUGAGAUCAUAUUAUAACAUUCGAUGACAUAUUAAAAGUGAAAAAUGAAACCAUUUCUUGUUUGUAACACUGUUAUGCAAACUAGAACUAUAUCUGAAACUAUAUUAUGACACUAUUUUGCAAAGUCUAAAUUUAGAGUAUAUUUUCCUAGAAUGAUUUUGUUUUCUAUUUUCCGUGUCUCAUUUCCAUAUAUUUGUAGUUAGAUGACAUAUAAUUACUAAAAAAAUGAACUAUUUGUUGAUUUGUAAUAUUGUUUUGUAAAGUGUAAAGAGUGAAAAAUCAACUAUUUCUAAAACUUCUUAUGACAUUAUUUUGCAAACUGCAAACUAUUUUUCAAGUAUGAGUCUUGUGUUUGUAUAUAUGAUUUUCAUGGUCCUUCUUAUGUGUUUGAAUGUAUAAAUU
rnacentral:lncRNA from 1 species